rnacentral:rRNA from 1 species
UAGGGAAUCUUCCGCAAUGGACGAAAGUCUGACGGAGCAACGCCGCGUGAGUGAAGAAGGAUUUCGGUUCGUAAAACUCUGUUGUUAGGGAAGAAAAAAUGUAUAGUAACUAUAUACAAAAGAGACGGUACCUAACCAGAAAGCCACGGCUAACUACGUGCCAGCAGCCGCGGUAAUACGUAGGUGGCAACCGUUGUCCGGAAUUAUUGGGCGUAAAGCGCGCGCAGGUGGUUUAGAAAGUCUGAUUGGAAAGCCCACGGCUCAACCGUGGAGGGUCAUUAGAAACUAAUAGACUUGAGUGCAGGAGAGAGAAGUGGAAUUCCUAGUGUAGGGGUGAAAUGCGUAGAGAUUAGGAGGAACACCGGUGGCGAAAGCGGCUUUUUGGCCUGCAACUGAAACUGAGGCGCGAAAGCGUGGGGAGCAAACAGG